CAUCUUUCCUCGUUCAAGGUCGUCUCAGUGUCGCAGAGCUGCAAGGGCAUCAACAGAUACCCCGCUCCUCCGUGUCACAGGUUCUCUGUUCUCCUCCACCAUCAGCGGAUCCUCAGCCAAGGGAUUCCACAUAAAAUUGAUAUCACGUGAUAUUUCUAUUUCUCUGUCUGGCCUCCUUCACCGAGUAUCACCAUCUCUGGGUUCAUCCACGUUGCUGAGAGUGGCACGUCCUCGCUCUUCGUGGGUCAUCACAGAGCCCUGAGCUGGGCUCCCUGAGCUAUGAAGCAGCUUCCCACUGGCUGUCUGUUUGACACGCGGCGAGGUAUAGGCGUCACGGCCACUCUCUCAGCUCAUCGCUGCGUCUCAGCUCAUCGCUGCGUCUCAGCUCAUCGCUGCGUCU
ensembl:lncRNA